rnacentral:tRNA from 1 species
GCCCCCGUAGCUCAGGGGAUAGAGCAUCGGCCUCCGGAGCCGUGUGCGCAGGUUCGAAUCCUGCCGGGGGCACCU